GACACACGGCGGGUGCUAACGUCCGUCGUGAAGAGGGAAACAACCCAGAUCGCCAGCUAAGGUCCCAAAGUCAUGGUUAAGUGGGAAACGAUGUGGGAAGGCCCAGACAGCCAGGAUGUUGGCUUAGAAGCAGCCAUCAUUUAAAGAAAGCGUAAUAGCUCACUGGUCGAGUCGGCCUGCGCGGAAGAUGUAACGGGGCUAAACCAUGCACCGAAGCUGCGGCAGCGACGCUGAUGCGUUGUUGGGUAGGGGAGCGUUCUGUAAGCCUGCGAAGGUGUGCUGUGAGGCAUGCUGGAGGUAUCAGAAGUGCGAAUGCUGACAUAAGUAACGAUAAAGCGGGUGAAAAGCCCGCUCGCCGGAAGACCAAGGGUUCCUGUCCAACGUUAAUCGGGGCAGGGUGAGUCGACCCCUAAGGCGAGGCCGAAAGGCGUAGUCGAUGGGAAACAGGUUAAUAUUCCUGUACUUGGUGUUACUGCGAAGGGGGGACGGAGAAGGCUAUGUUGGCCGGGCGACGGUUGUCCCGGUUUAAGCGUGUAGGCUGGUUUUCCAGGCAAAUCCGGAAAAUCAAGGCUGAGGCGUGAUGACGAGGCACUACGGUGCUGAAGCAACAAAUGCCCUGCUUCCAGGAAAAGCCUCUAAGCAUCAGGUAACAUCAAAUCGUACCCCAAACCGACACAGGUGGUCAGGUAGAGAAUACCAAGGCGCUUGAGAGAACUCGGGUGAAGGAACUAGGCAAAAUGGUGCCGUAACUUCGGGAGAAGGCACGCUGAUAUGUAGGUGAGGUCCCUCGCGGAUGGAGCUGAAAUCAGUCGAAGAUACCAGCUGGCUGCAACUGUUUAUUAAAAACACAGCACUGUGCAAACACGAAAGUGGACGUAUACGGUGUGACGCCUGCCCGGUGCCGGAAGGUUAAUUGAUGGGGUUAGCGCAAGCGAAGCUCUUGAUCGAAGCCCCGGUAAACGGCGGCCGUAACUAUAACGGUCCUAAGGUAGCGAAAUUCCUUGUCGGGUAAGUUCCGACCUGCACGAAUGGCGUAAUGAUGGCCAGGCUGUCUCCACCCGAGACUCAGUGAAAUUGAACUCGCUGUGAAGAUGCAGUGUACCCGCGGCAAGACGGAAAGACCCCGUGAACCUUUACUAUAGCUUGACACUGAACAUUGAGCCUUGAUGUGUAGGAUAGGUGGGAGGCUUGAAGUGUGGACGCCAGUCUGCAUGGAGCCGACCUUGAAAUACCACCCUUUAAUGUUUGAUGUUCUAACGUUGACCCGUAAUCCGGGUUGCGGACAGUGUCUGGUGGGUAGUUUGACUGGGGCGGUCUCCUCCUAAAGAGUAACGGAGGAGCACGAAGGUUGGCUAAUCCUGGUCGGACAUCAGGAGGUUAGUGCAAUGGCAUAAGCCAGCUUGACUGCGAGCGUGACGGCGCGAGCAGGUGCGAAAGCAGGUCAUAGUGAUCCGGUGGUUCUGAAUGGAAGGGCCAUCGCUCAACGGAUAAAAGGUACUCCGGGGAUAACAGGCUGAUACCGCCCAAGAGUUCAUAUCGACGGCGGUGUUUGGCACCUCGAUGUCGGCUCAUCACAUCCUGGGGCUGAAGUAGGUCCCAAGGGUAUGGCUGUUCGCCAUUUAAAGUGGUACGCGAGCUGGGUUUAGAACGUCGUGAGACAGUUCGGUCCCUAUCUGCCGUGGGCGCUGGAGAACUGAGGGGGGCUGCUCCUAGUACGAGAGGACCGGAGUGGACGCAUCACUGGUGUUCGGGUUGUCAUGCCAAUGGCACUGCCCGGUAGCUAAAUGCGGAAGAGAUAAGUGCUGAAAGCAUCUAAGCACGAAACUUGCCCCGAGAUGAGUUCUCCCUGACCCCUUGAGAGUCCUGAAGGAACGUUGAAGACGACGACGUUGAUAGGCCGGGUGUGUAAGCGCAGCGAUGCGUUGAGCUAACCGGUACUAAUGAACCGUGAGGCUUAACCUU
rnacentral:rRNA from 1 species